rnacentral:tRNA from 1 species
CUUGUAGCUCAGUUGGUAAAGAAUCUGCCUGCAAGGCAGGAGAUCAGGGUUCGAUCCCUGGUUCAAGA